rnacentral:rRNA from 1 species
GAUGUACUCCCUGAACAACGAACAGCGGACUCAUAACUAAAACGGACUGUGGGAUGAAUCUUACUGAAAACCAGGGCGUUGAGAUGGUCAGGACUGUGGGGUGAA